GCUCUGCUCCCCAGCUGCGUUGGAGAGUGCUGCGGCUUCUAGCUCAGCGGAAGGAACCAGCUUCCUGCCGGAUUCUCUCUGGUGCCCAGAAGAGUUAACGCCGGUCUCCGGGCCGCAGAGCCUAAAGGCUCUGCGUACGGCUCUGUCUGUGGGUCUCGCCGUCCCGCGGCCCGGUUCUGUGAGGCGUUACGCGUCUCGGUAGCUCCUGAGGCGCCUUCGGCCGGCCAGCGGCCGCCUAAUGCGGAGUUCCGCCGCGUAAGGGUCGCCGCCCUCUGCGCCCGCAGGAUUUUUGGCCUACUGGCACAGCCAGCCGAGCCCGACCUGUCGUCCUGAGGCUCACUGCUGCCUCUCCGGAGGAGGCCUUUUUGUUCCGACAGAAUCAAGGGCCCUGAGGGUUCUGUACCCUAUUUUGGGCUAUGCAUCUCUAACAAUUUUUUUUUCUUGUGAGCACCUGGAAUGGAAAAAAAGUGCCAGUUUUUAUUACUUCCCAUGAGUUUCUAUAUCUGGAAUGAGAACCAUGAAGUUAAUCUAGAGUAAGACAUUUGUAAGAAAUAAAUGGAAUUUGGCAGCACCAGAACCUGAAAGGAAUACUUGAAGGAGUUGAGCUCCAGAAGACGUAGCCAACAGAAGGACUGAUGGGAAACAAUUGACUAGAAAUACUACAGAGAAACUUUUUAAAUUUCGUCAAGCAGUGGAAAAAUUGAGCCUUGUUUCAAAUUAAACAAAAUCUACAAUGAAGAGAAACCAAAUAUAAAAAGUGUGUUACUUAAAACCUUAAUGUAAAUUUAGGAAAACAAAAGGAUAAUUUUUUUCAAUUUUUAGAAACAAUUAUGGUAAGAAUAUUUGUAAAACUGUUAGACUCACUUCCAAGAAUUGCCAUGAUUCUGAAACAUGCUAAUAACCCAUAUAUCGACCAGUUUCAGUGAAAAAUAAUACUUGAGAAUACACCACAUGCACACCAUGAAGACCUAAGAGUGGCACUAACAAAUUAUUUACCUACUUACAAAUUACCUUUUUAAAUAUCAGUCUUUAAGAAUGCUAUAUUAUAUGUACUAAAAGUUGGACUUCAUUUAUAUGGAGAACAGAAGCUACCAACUUUCUUCACUUAAAGAUACAGCUGUUACUGAGUUCUAGCUCUCCAGAAAUCCCAAUGUCAGGAUAAGUUUGGGGUCUUUAUCCAGGUGGGUGGACUGCUGCCCAGUGAACACUACAUACAGAGCAAUAGGAGUACCAUUUUCUUUUCUGGCAGUAAGGUAAAAUCAGCUACUUUUGGAAGAGGAGAGGCCUUGGUGCAUUCUGCUACCCAAGAUUACUGUCUUUGUCUUUGAGUCUUCCACAUUCCCAUCUUCUCAAGCACCACUUUUUAUUGAGACAUCUCAUCUGCACUUCAUGUAGCACAUCCUGCCUCCUCUUGUUCUUUUGUCUUUUCCUGUGUUGACUUAAAGAGUAUGUAGGUAUUCUUGUUCUUCCUGACUGGUUCUGCUAUAUCUGUCAAGGGAGAGGAGGAGCAGGGGCAUUCUGAAAACUGAUCAUCCAUGUCUUGCAAGAGCAACAACUAGAGAGGACUUUGGCGGUGGCAGCCUUCUGAAUUCAUAACACCUUCACCUCACUAGACUAACACUUCAAUCAUAAGCCCUUAUCCCUUUUAGCCCAUUACCCUUCAGUACAAAUGCCUGUGCCUUAUAGGGCAUUGAGCUAGUUUGGGGGUUUUUGCUUUGCUUUAAAAUAUUUUUUCCAGUUCAUUAAAGCUUUUUCCUUUUAUUCUCCUGUUGGUUGUUUGAAACCAAAUUCAGUAUGAAUAAGAGAGGGAAAUAUACAAUAUUGAAUUUGGAGGAGAAAAUGAAGGUUCUAAGUAGGAUUGAAGCUGGACAAUCGCAUAAAAAUAUAAUGGAUGAAUUUGGGAUCAGUAAAUCAACAUUUUAUGACAUUAAAAAGAAUAAAAAAUUAAUUUUGGACUUUGUACUGAAACAAGACAUACCAUUCUUUGGGGCUGAGAAGAGAAAGAGAACAACAGGAGCCAAGUAUGGUGAUGUAGACAAUGAAAUCUACAUGUGGUAUCAACAGAAAUGCUCAGCUGGUGUCCCUGUUAGAAGUGUGGAGCUUCAAGCUGCAGCAGAGAGAUUUGCAGUGUUUUGGGCGAACAAACUUCAAAGCUAGUACUGGUUGGCUUUUUCGAUUUUGAAAUAGGCAUGCGACUGGGAACCGAAAAGUACGUGUGGAACAAGUCCUAAGUUCAGUUUCAGAAAAUGUUGAGCCAUUUCGAGAAAAACUGUACAUGCUUAUCAAAGACGAGAAACUGCUUCUAGCUCAACUAUACAGUGGGGAUGAGACUGACCUCUUAGAAAUCAAUGUCAAAAAACACUCAGGCAAGUAGAAAAGAUAUCUACCUUCCUGAAAGGAAAAUAAACAAAGAACAGUUAUCUGCUCUUUUAUGUGAAAAUGCAGAUGGAACUCAUAAGUUAAAGUCUAUCAUUAUUGGAAAAUCAAAGCUGCCCAAAUGUGUGAAGGAGGACACAAGUAGAUUACCUGUUAUAUAUAAACCUAGUAAAAAUGGGAAUUCCCGGUUGGUUCACCAGGGAAUUGUUUUCAGAAUGGUUCUUUCAAAAUUUUGUUCCUGAGGUGAGGCAUUUUCAACUUAAUGUUCUAAGGUUCCAUGAAGAGGAUGUCAGAGCCUUGUUACUUCUAGACAAUUCCCGUUCACCCUUCUGCUGAAUCACUAACUAGUGAGGAUGGUCAAAUAAAAUGCAUGUUUUUUCCCCGCAACACUUCAACCUUGAUUCAACCAAUGAAUCAAGGUGUGAUCUUAAGCUGCAAACAACUUUAUAUGUGGAAACAACUUGAAAAGAGUCUUGUAAUUUUUGAAGAAAGUGAUGAGCAAGAUAAAGGAGGAAAAGGAGUUUCCCAGAUUAAAAUCUACAACAUAAAAAGUGCAGUUUUUAAUUGGGCAAAGAGUUGGAAUGAAGUGAAACAAAUAAUCAUAGUAAAUGCGUGGGAAAAUCUUUACAAAAAGGAACCUGAGUGUGAUAGUCAAGGAUUAGAAGAUGGGGAUUAUAGACAAAGUCUUAAGAAAUGUGGGGAGUUGGAAACCAAGAUGGAUGGUGAUAGGGGGUGGUUAAAUGGGGAGGAUGAAGUGAAGGGUAGUCCCCCCAAAUCAAAAGGUAGGAUUACAAAAGUUGUUCAGAAAGGAAGAGGAGCUCAAGAGCAGAUUGCUGAAUUUAAGUUAUCCACCGUAAGAAAGAAUUUGGACUACCUUCUUGACUUUGUUGAUGCUACACCUGAGUUUCAAAGAUUCCAUUUCACAUUGAAAGAGUUGCAACAAGAAAUAAUCAAGAAACAGUUCCAGAGUAGAGUCUAUUCUAGAACUGGUAGUUUUUUUAAAACUAUGCUUCAUGAUAUUAAGGAUUCUUCCAGUAUUCCUUCAACUUCUCACUCUAGUAAUUAGAUUUUUGUGUUUAGAGAUUUCUGCAGUUAUGUGAUAAUAUACAACAUAAACCUAUUGUGAAUUGUCAGUUUUUAUCAACUGACCUCAUUUUGCAUACAGUGCCCAUUUGUAUAUUGUUUAUAAAAUAAUACAAUUUGAAAAUAUUAAAUGUAUGUUUAAUACAUAUUCAUUAAUCUGUAUCUUUUCUAUUUUAGACAAGGAUCUGAAUAAUGAGGAAUUAUUAUUCCAGGUUAUUUAAAAUAGAAUGGAUGUGGGAAAAGCAUUAAAUGCUACCUUAAAUGUGUUCAGAGCAUAUACCAAAGCUAUGUCCUGCCUAGUUUUAGUUAUCUUUAAGAAGAUAAGGAUAGCCCUGGCUGGUGUGGCUCAGUGGAUUGAGCGCAGCCCUGCAAACUGAAGGGUCCCCAAGCCAAAGGGUCUCCAGUUGGAUUCUGGGUCAAGGCACAUGCCUAGGUUGUGGGCCAGGUUCCCGGUUGGGUGGUGUAUGAGGCAACAAAUUGAUUGUUUUCACAUCAAUGUUUCUCUCCCUCCCCCUCUCUCUAAAAAUAAUAAUUAAAACGGGAUAGAUUCAUGUUUCAAUUUAAUGGUAUAAUAUGCUGUUUUUAAAAUCUGUUGCUGCCUAUUUAGUGUCUGUUUUCCUCUUGAUGCAGAAGUAAUAUGAUGGUAGAAGAUAUAUUAAAAAGCACUCAA